CGAAGCGUGCGAUUGGAUUGCACGUCUAAGCAGUAAGGCUGAGUAUUAGGCAAAUCCGGUACUCGUUAAGGCUGAGCUGUGAUGGGGAGAAGACAUUGUGUCUUCGAGUCGUUGAUUUCACACUGCCGAGAAAAGCCUCUAGAUAGAAAAUAGGUGCCCGUACCGCAAACCGACACAGGUAGUCAAGAUGAGAAUUCUAAGGUGAGCGAGCGAACUCUCGUUAAGGAACUCGGCAAAAUGACCCCGUAACUUCGGGAGAAGGGGUGCUCUUUAGGGUUAACGCCCAGAAGAGCCGCAGUGAAUAGGCCCAAGCGACUGUUUAUCAAAAACACAGGUCUCUGCUAAACCGUAAGGUGAUGUAUAGGGGCUGACGCCUGCCCGGUGCUGGAAGGUUAAGAGGAGUGGUUAGCUUCUGCGAAGCUACGAAUCGAAGCCCCAGUAAACGGCGGCCGUAACUAUAACGGUCCUAAGGUAGCGAAAUUCCUUGUCGGGUAAGUUCCGACCCGCACGAAAGGCGUAACGAUUUGGGCACUGUCUCAACGAGAGACUCGGUGAAAUCAUAGUACCUGUGAAGAUGCAGGUUACCCGCGACAGGACGGAAAGACCCCGUGGAGCUUUACUGUAGCCUGAUAUUGAAAUUCGGCACAGCUUGUACAGGAUAGGUAGGAGCCUUUGAAACGUGAGCGCUAGCUUACGUGGAGGCGCUGGUGGGAUACUACCCUAGCUGUGUUGGCUUUCUAACCCGCACCACUUAUCGUGGUGGGAGACAGUGUCAGGCGGGCAGUUUGACUGGGGCGGUCGCCUCCUAAAAGGUAACGGAGGCGCUCAAAGGUUCCCUCAGAAUGGUUGGAAAUCAUUCAUAGAGUGUAAAGGCAUAAGGGAGCUUGACUGCGAGACCUACAAGUCGAGCAGGGUCGAAAGACGGACUUAGUGAUCCGGUGGUUCCGCAUGGAAGGGCCAUCGCUCAACGGAUAAAAGCUACCCCGGGGAUAACAGGCUUAUCUCCCCCAAGAGUUCACAUCGACGGGGAGGUUUGGCACCUCGAUGUCGGCUCAUCGCAUCCUGGGGCUGUAGUCGGUCCCAAGGGUUGGGCUGUUCGCCCAUUAAAGCGGUACGCGAGCUGGGUUCAGAACGUCGUGAGACAGUUCGGUCCCUAUCCGUCGUGGGCGUAGGAAAUUUGAGAGGAGCUGUCCUUAGUACGAGAGGACCGGGAUGGACAUACCUCUGGUGUACCAGUUGUCGUGCCAACGGCAUAGCUGGGUAGCUAUGUGUGGACGGGAUAAGUGCUGAAAGCAUCUAAGCAUGAAGCCCCCCUCAAGAUGAGAUUUCCCAACUUCGGUUAUAAGAUCCCUCAAAGAUGAUGAGGUUAAUAGGUUCGAGGUGGAAG
rnacentral:rRNA from 1 species